rnacentral:rRNA from 1 species
GACGAACGCUGGCGGCGUGCUUAACACAUGCAAGUCGAACGGAAAGGCCCUGCUCUUGUGGGGUGCUCGAGUCGCAAACGGGUGAGUAACACGUGAGUAACCUGCCCUUGACUUUGGGAUAACUUCAGGAAACUGUGACUAAUACCGGAUAGGUGCUCCUGCUGCAUGGUGGGGGUUGGAAAGUUUCGGCGGGUGGGGAUGGACUCGCGGCUUAUCAGCUUGUUGGUGGGGUAGUGGCUUACCAAGGCUUCGACGGGUAGGCGGCCUGAGAGGGUGACCAGCCACAUUGGGACUGAGAUACGGCGCAGUCUGGUACGUUAGGCAGUAGUGGGGAAUAUUGUACAAUGGGCGGGAGUGUGAUGCAGCAACGCCGCGGGCGGGAUGACGGCCUUCGGGUUGUGAACCGCUUUCGCCUGUGACGAAGCGUGAGUGACGGUAAUGGGUAAAGAAGCACCGGCUAACUACGUG